UCUGGGACAAGCCCUGGAAACGGGGUCUAAUACCGGAUAAUACCUUCUCUCGCAUGGGAGUGGGUUGAAAGCUCCGGCGGUGCAGGAUGAGCCCGCGGCCUAUCAGCUUGUUGGUGGGGUGAUGGCCUACCAAGGCGACGACGGGUAGCCGGCCUGAGAGGGCGACCGGCCACACUGGGACUGAGACACGGCCCAGACUCCUACGGGAGGCAGCAGUGGGGAAUAUUGCACAAUGGGCGGAAGCCUGAUGCAGCGACGCCGCGUGAGGGAUGACGGCCUUCGGGUUGUAAACCUCUUUCAGCAGGGAAGAAGCGCAAGUGACGGUACCUGCAGAAGAAGCACCGGCUAACUACGUGCCAGCAGCCGCGGUAAUACGUAGGGUGCGAGCGUUGUCCGGAAUUAUUGGGCGUAAAGAGCUCGUAGGCGGCUUGUCGCGUCGGAUGUGAAAGCCCGGGGCUUAACCCCGGGUCUGCAUUCGAUACGGGCAGGCUAGAGUGUGGUAGGGGAGAUCGGAAUUCCUGGUGUAGCGGUGAAAUGCGCAGAUAUCAGGAGGAACACCGGUGGCGAAGGCGGAUCUCUGGGCCAUUACUGACGCUGAGGAGCGAAAGCGUGGGGAGCGAACAGGAUUAGAUACCCUGGUAGUCCACGCCGUAAACGUUGGGAACUAGGUGUUGGCGACAUUCCACGUCGUCGGUGCCGCAGCUAACGCAUUAAGUUCCCCGCCUGG
rnacentral:rRNA from 1 species